rnacentral:rRNA from 1 species
AGAGUCUUGUCCUGGCUCAGGAUGAACGCUGGCGGGGUGCUUAACACAUGCAAGUCGAGCGAAGCACUUAAGUUUGAUUCUUCGGAUGAAGACUUUUGUGACUGAGCGGCGGACGGGUGAGUAACGCGUGGGUAACCUGCCUCAUACAGGGGGAUAACAGUUAGAAAUGACUGCUAAUACCGCAUAAGACCACGGGACCGGAUGGGACAGUGGUAAAAACUCCGGUGGUAUGAGAUGGACCCGCGUCUGAUUAGGUAGUUGGUGGGGUAACGGCCUACCAAGCCGACGAUCAGUAGCCGACCUGAGAGGGUGACCGGCCACAUUGGGACUGAGACACGGCCCAGACUCCUACGGGAGGCAGCAGUGGGGAAUAUUGCACAAUGGAGGAAACUCUGAUGCAGCGACGCCGCGUGAAGGAUGAAGUAUUUCGGUAUGUAAACUUCUAUCAGCAGGGAAGAAAAUGACGGUACCUGACUAAGAAGCCCCGGCUAACUACGUGCCAGCAGCCGCGGUAAUACGUAGGGGGCAAGCGUUAUCCGGAUUUACUGGGUGUAAAGGGAGCGUAGACGGCACGGCAAGCCAGAUGUGAAAGCCCGGGGCUCAACCCCGGGACUGCAUUUGGAACUGCUGAGCUAGAGUGUCGGAGAGGCAAGUGGAAUUCCUAGUGUAGCGGUGAAAUGCGUAGAUAUUAGGAGGAACACCAGUGGCGAAGGCGGCUUGCUGGACGAUGACUGACGUUGAGGCUCGAAAGCGUGGGGAGCAAACAGGAAAGGAUACCCUGGUAGUCCACGCCGUAAACGA